GAUGAACGCUGGCGGCGUGCCUAAUACAUGCAAGUCGAGCGAACAGACGAGAAGCUUGCUCCUCUGACGUUAGCGGCGGACGGGUGAGUAACACGUGGAUAACCUACCUAUAAGACUGGGAUAACUUCGGGAAACCGUAGCUAAUACCGGAUAAUAUAUUGAACCGCAUGGUUCAAUAGUGAAAGACGGUUUUGCUGUCACUUAUAGAUGGAUCCGCGCCGCAUUAGCUAGUUGGUAAGGUAACGGCUUACCAAGGCAACGAUGCGUAGCCGACCUGAGAGGGUGAUCGGCCACACUGGAACUGAGACACGGUCCAGACUCCUACGGGAGGCAGCAGUAGGGAAUCUUCCGCAAUGGGCGAAAGCCUGACGGAGCAACGCCGCGUGAGUGAUGAAGGUCUUCGGAUCGUAAAACUCUGUUAUUAGGGAAGAACAAAUGUGUAAGUAACUAUGCACAUCUUGACGGUACCUAAUCAGAAAGCCACGGCUAACUACGUG
rnacentral:rRNA from 1 species